rnacentral:ncRNA from 1 species
GGUGACGGGUGUUCGAGGGGGUCUGCGGCGCGUCUGCGCGGUUCGCCGAAGGCGGGUUCGGGCGGCAGUUGUCGUUAGUAUGGGUAUGCACUCGGCGUUGCCUCUGUCGGUCGAAUACGCUUCUUAAAGGGACAAGCGGCGCUCAGCCGCACGAGAUUGAGCAAUAACAGGUCUGUGAUGCCCUUAGAUGUCCGGGGCCGCACGCGCGCUACACUGAAGGAAUCAGCGUGUGUUCUCUCCCGGUCCGGAAGGACUGGGUAACCCGUUGAACCUCCUUCGUGAUAGGGAUCGGAGCUUGAAAUUAUCCUCCGUGAACGAGGAAUUCCCAGUAAGCGCGAGUCAUAGCUCGCGUUGAUUACGUCCCUGCCCUUUGUACACACCGCCCGUCGCUACUACCGAUUGAAUGAUUUAGUGAGGUCUUCGGACUGGCAGUCUCUGCGGCUCUCGGGUCGCGGUGGCCCGCCGGGAAGAUGACCGAACUUGACCAUUUAGAGGAAGUAAAAGUCGUAACAAGGUUUUCGUAGGUGAACCUGCGGAAGGAUCAUUA